UUCGAUUCAACUUGGAACAGAAGAUUAGGAAUUUGUGCAUUAUAAAAAGAAAAUGCAGACUUUUUUUAAUUAAGAGCGGGAGGAGAUUAGUUGCAAGGAAGAGAAAUGCCGACAACGAUAAUGUUGAACUUAUGAGAGGGACACGGUUUGCUUUAUCCCCGUAGCACGUCGAAAAACUGGACUGAAAGGGUUUGAGCCAUCUUUUGUCUAUACCGUUAGACAUUUUCCAGUUUUGUCCUUAAGUAUCCCGAAAGAUCAUAUACUUUGGAGGAGUCCAACAUUUCACCCGAAGAAUUACGGAUGAAAUCUGAAAGUUUGGAAGAAUGGAGAGAACAUUCACUACUGAGAAAAUGAAUUUAAACAUCGGAGACUUUCUUUAUUAUAAAUUUAUUGAGAAAAAUGUCUUUGUAAAUAAACCUCAAACAAUUUUUGUCGGGACCGAAAGAAUCGAAGUUGUUAUAAACGGUUCUUUUCUGUAUUUUACAAUAAAUCAGUGUUUUGAGAUCGGGUUCAUUUUAAAUUAAAUAUAGAUUUAUUUUUAAGAUAUAGCCAAUAAGUCGAAAAUAUUUUCUGCAUUUGUGGUUCUCUUUAUUAUAACUGAUUUGCUUUCGAUGUUUAAAUUCAGAUUUAACAUCGUUUGACUUUUCUAUAGAUUUUGUGCAUGAAAAUGCAAAGAAACUUCGUUGUGAAGAUUGUGAAAAAGAAUUCUGUUUUAAGUCCAAAUUAGAAA